AAGUUAUUUUGUUGCUAAUAAGUCGGAAUUAUUAGUUAAGUUGUGUGUUAUAAGCUGGAAUCUUAUCAUCAAGUUGAAGUCAAGUUGUCGGAAUGAUGUAGAAAAAUUGUUUUACAAUGUCGACUUGCUGAUAUAAAUAUAAUGGCAUAGUAAUAAGAAGUCGACACGUUGAAUUCAACUUGUUAAUUGAUUAAGUCGACAACUUGUUUAUUUGAUAUUAAAUCAUCAUAUUGAAGUCAACUUGUCGGAAUGAUAAAGAAAAAGUUUUUGAUUACGAUGUCGACUUGUUAAUAUAAAUGUAAAUGACAUAAAAAAAGAAGUCGACUUGUUUAUUAAUUAAGUCAACUUGCUUAUUUGAUGUUAACUUUAUUCGUUCUCACGGUCAGAUUCCCACGGUCCGUAUUUUACUUCCUGUGCUGACACAUUAAAGAUGGAGAUCGACAGCAACAACAUCAGCGGGAGCAGUGGAAACGAGUCAUAAGUAUGCUUAAAUUCAAGGAAUAAAUGUUGCAUAUGCUAUGCUAUGGACAUAAAUGCAUUUUUAGUUCCUUGUGCUCAUAAGUUUUGUUUUCCUUGUGCCACAAGAGUCAAGACUACAGGACAGCCCUGCCCAAUAUGCAGAACUGACAUUACAAAUGUGGGAUCACUAGUAAGCAGUGACAUGUAAAAAUGAUGAUAGUUUACUGUUGUAGGAUUGUGUAUGGUAGGAUGCCAUACAUGUUUUCAUGAGGAAUUGAUAUCGUCUUAAGCUCACUUGGUGGCAUCAUUAGUAAGCAGUGAAGAGUAACAAUAAUAAUGAUUGUACUGUAUGAAAGGAUGUCAUACACGUUUUCAUUAAAAUUGAUAUUGUA